CAAACAAACAAACAAACAAAAAAACCGGAUGCACUAAGAAGAAAAUCACACUAAACCUUUUAAAGUGCAAGCUCUUCAUUAAAAAUAUGAUUUGUUAUUUACAGUGGUUCAGCAUAUGUACAAUUCCCCAUAUAAUUGAUAGAAUAGAAAGUGGGGCAGAUCCUAAGAAGUUGCGCCUAAGUACAUGGGCCUUUGGAGCAGUGUAGACAUAUUUUCUUCACCAAAUGUUUGCCUGGGGCCAGGCGAUGCACUCAGCGCCAUUCACAGCAGCCAGUUCUAAGGGUUGGAAACUCUUGUUAGAAAAGUUCUCUUGGCCUGAUACCUGCUUCAUCUUCACCCUUGUCAAUUCAUGUUGCUUGUUAUUCAGCAGGACAGCCUGAGUCUUUCCCUUCCGUCUGUGACAUCCAGCUCUGGAAGCUAAGAACCCAAGAUGAGGUGGAGGCGGGCAGGGAUACUGCUACUUGCCAGACAAGUGCACUUGAACUAGCUACUGACUUGAGUUUGUCCUUGGCUGAGGGAUAUAGAAUCAAACAGCCUGGGAAUUGGACCUCGAGGUUACCUGGUGCUCCCUCCCUCCCUGUCCCUGUAUGGAUGGACACCUAGAGACCCCGUGGGCUUGCACGCACUGUUCACACCUUGGCUGUGAGCUUAGUGAGUUUUGUUUCAGGUCUGAGUUCAAUAAUGAAAAGGUACUUUGAUCUCCGAUGCUAAUUCUCCUCCCUCUCUUCCUCCCUUCCUCCCUUUUGGGGCCAUACCCGCAGAUAUGGAAGUUCCUAGGCAAUGCCGGAUCCUUAACCCACUGAGUGGGGCCAGGGAUCGAACCUUCAUCUUCGUGGAGACUAGUCAGGUUCGUUAACCACGAUGGGAACUCCUAGUUCUUCUUUCUGAGCUGAACACACAAGGACAUUUGCCAUCUGCUUACAGUUUCACCAUCUAAUAUAGUAAUAGCCACUUGGGAAAGUUAAAAAAAAGUACUUAGUGGACAUUUGGCAACCAUAGUAUAAACAAGUGAGAUUAGUUUCGUGAACCCGAACUGAGUGGUCCCUGGGUAGGUCACAGUGUUCUGCCUUCCGGCUGAUGCUCAGAGUUCACUGGAAUCCCAGGGAGAAGGGAGAAGCUUUGGAAGUAUGUGGACAUGGGGUUAAGAACCAUUUCUUAGCUCUGGGACCCCAGACACAUUAUGCAGCCACUGAGUUGCUGCCUUUUCUCUUUUGGAGGGGCAGGGCACUCCCUCCUUUGGAAGGAUGCUGGAGAGUAAAGCUUGAACUCAGAGCCUUGCUUGGGAUGCAGAGAACUGCAGCCUGGCCAGUCUCCCACCUCCUAGGGGAGGCAGCAGUGCUCAUCUCUUUUUGGGGGGCAGCAUAGAGCAUCUCUUACUGAUUCAUGGUGCUAGUGUUGUGAAGAUACCUCCCCUACCCCCAUCCACCAAACCCCUUCCAGUGGGAAGCAGUAACAGCAGAGGUGGGAAAUGGGUAGAUGCCUGAGCACCACGUGUCAUGGGGACACACAGGGAAGGCCACCUUUGCUCUUCCCGGGCUGCUGGCAAGUUAAGAGCCCAUCCAGAGAAGGUGACUUUGGGGGUGGGUUUGGGUGAGUCUACCAGGCCGAGAGGGGCUGAUCUUGGCCUGAAGGGGCUUGAAGGAGGGGCUAGUAGGCAAGCAGAGGAAUGUAGGAAAGUACUGAAAAAUGCUUUGGAAUGUUCUUAUUCUUUAUUUCGAAUUUUCUUUUUUUCUUUUUUUUGGAAGGAGAGAGAGGCUGCUGAGUUUUUCUGCUCAAUGUUGUUCCCUUUCCUAGCUCGAAAUCUUUCUUUUAUAAAAGACCAAGAAGACAUACGCUCAUUAGGAGUAGCCUGCAUGUUCCACACGGGAGCCUGUCUCUCCUGUGCUCUGAAUAGAGCUUAGAACCUUACUUUCUUCCUCUGCUU
rnacentral:lncRNA from 1 species